GUGCUUGCUUUAGCGGCACAUGUACUAAAAUUGGAACAACACAGAGAAGAUUAGCAUGGCUCCUGAGCUAGGAUGACACGCAAAAUCGUGAAACGUUCCAUAUUUUA